rnacentral:rRNA from 1 species
AGAAUCAACGCUGGCGGCGUGCCUAACACAUGCAAGUCGAACGAGAAAGUGGAGCAAUCCAUGAGUAAAGUGGCGCACGGGUGAGUAACACGUGACUAACCUACCCUUGAGUGGGGGAUAACCUAAGGGAAACCUGGGCUAAUACCGCAUAAUACCUUCGGGUCAAAGGAGCAAUUCGCUUAAGGAGGGGGUCGCGGCCGAUUAGUUAGUUGGCGGGGUAAUGGCCCACCAAGACUGUGAUCGGUAU